rnacentral:rRNA from 1 species
GGCACUCUGAUCCAGCCAUGCCGCGUGCAGGAAGACUGCCCUAUGGGUUGUAAACUGCUUUUAUAGAGGAAGAAACCUCUCUACGUGUAGGGAGCUGACGGUACUCUACGAAUAAGGAUCGGCUAACUCCGUGCCAGCAGCCGCGGUAAUACGGAGGAUCCAAGCGUUAUCCGGAAUCAUUGGGUUUAAAGGGUCCGUAGGCGGGCAGUUAAGUCAGUGGUGAAAGUCUUCCGCUCAACGGGAGAAUUGCCAUUGAUACUGAUUGUCUUGAGUCAUUAUGAAGUGGUUAGAAUGAGUAGUGUAGCGGUGAAAUGCAUAGAUAUUACUCAGAAUACCGAUUGCGAAGGCAGAUCACUAAUAAUGUACUGACGCUGAUGGACGAAAGCGUAGGUAGCGAACAGGAUUAGAUACCCUGGUAGUCUACGCCGUAAACGAUGGUUACUAGCUGUUUGGACGAUUGAGUCUGAGUGGCUAAGCGAAAGUGAUAAGUAACCCACCUGGGGAGUACGUUCGCAAGAAUGAAACUCAAAUG